rnacentral:rRNA from 1 species
AUUGAACGCUGGCGGCAUGCCUUACACAUGCAAGUCGAACGGCAGCGGGGACUUCGGUCCGCCGGCGAGUGGCGAACGGGUGAGUAAUGUAUCGGAACGUACCAUUCAGUGGGGGAUAACUAUCCGAAAGGAUAGCUAAUACCGCAUAUUCUGUGAGCAGGAAAGCAGGGGAUCGCAAGACCUUGCGCUGAUUGAGCGGCCGAUAUCAGAUUAGCUAGUUGGUGAGGUAACGGCUCACCAAGGCUACGAUCUGUAGCGGGUCUGAGAGGAUGACCGCCCACACGGGAACUGGGACACGGCCCAGACUCCGACGGGAGGCAGCAGUGGGGAAUUUUGGACAAGGGGCGAAAGCUUGAUCCGGCCGUGCCGCGUGAGUGAAGAAGGCCUUCGGGUUGUAAAGCUCUUUCGGCCGGGAAGAAAUCGCAUCAGCUAAUACCUGGUGUGGAUGACGGUACCGGAAUAAGAAGCACCGGCUAACUACGGGCCAGCAGCCGCGGUAA